GGCAUCCGAGCCUCCACCUCCUGAAAACUUCUCUCCUUUCGGGCUCCCUCUCUCCGGCUGGAUGACGGGCACCAACCACCCCAAAUCCAGUCCUAACGCCCCUCCACUGACCCCCCUCCCCAUCGCCUGCUAAGGAAGGGCUACGCUCCUUAAGCUGAGGCGCCGGCUGCUUUACAAGUUUCGAGGGAAAAGAAUGGAUUUCUCUGGUUAGGCCACUCAGGGAAUAAACGGCCCAAGGCCCUGGGAGAUCCCACGACGGGGGUGGGAGGUGUUUCUUCUGGAGUCUGGAUGGAGCAGAGCUGGCAGGGCCGGUCGUCCCGCUGCUGCGGGCUGGCUCGCCAAAGACGCCCCUUCCUUGACCUACUCCCUCUCUCCGGAGAGAGCCCUGGAGAGUUCUGGAAAUCCUGCUACCUUUAGGACCUGCGGGAUCCGAGUUGGGGGUCACCUUCCCCGCCCCCAGCGAAGUCGGCGCCGGGAACUGCCUUAAUGGAAACCAGCCGCUGGGCGCUCCGGGAGGGCUUGGGCAGACCCCGGGGUCCACCAGAGGCGCGCGCCAGGCCGGUGGAGCCCGCGGCGGCUGGAGGGUGAACCUGACAUCCCCGCGCGGCUCCACCAACCCCUCCGCGGCUCGCACCCCACCCCCACCCCGGCUGGAACAAAGUAGAACCCGGGGCGUGCGCGUGAUUCCCAGGGAGGGCGGACUCGGGGCUUUCCCUGUCGCACCCUCCAUCGGGGGACCGUCCCCAAGUCCCCGAGAGCCUCUCGGGCAGGGUCCUUAGGGCUCGGCGCACGGGAGGACCUGGCUUGCCCGGUGGAGGCGAACAAGCGAGGAGUCGGUGGAGCUGCGCCCCAAGAGUCCCCGGCGAGCGAGUCUACCCACCCGGACCCUUUGUCCGCCUCCUCCUCCCCACCCUCGUCCCGGCCGUGGGCUCGGGGGACCCGGGCGGCGGCAGAGGUGGCAGGCAGAGCCCAGAGGCACAGCUCGGGCAACCAGGAAGGUCGCACGUGGAGCCGCCCCCGGGACCCGCGUAACGACACCGUGGGGGAGGCUGCGGGCUCGCGGGGUGGGGGCUGGGGCGCAGCCCGAGAAGUGGGAGGGGAUCGGGUGAGGGGUGGUCUCUGAGGAGGAGCCAGGCUGGACCGUAUUGUUCCGCGUUCUGCCGGGUAGGGCGCGAGGCGCAAGGCUUCCCGUGUCCCUCUCCCCACCCCCGCUCUCCGAGCGCGAGAGGAGGCUGGGGGUGGCUCCUUGUGCGCCCCGAGACGCCGCUGCCCAGCUUGCCCGGUGGGCGUGCGUCCUCCGAGCGGUACCGGGAAGGGGGUGCUCUGCGCCCGCGCGCUCAGUACGGCUCCACCCAGGGCGGGGGUCCCAAGUGAACCGCCCGCCGCAACGCAGUCCCCUGCCGGGUUCGCGGCCCCAGAGGUUGGGGCCGGCGGCGAAGGGCUAGGGUCCUUCACCCUCCCUCGCCGCGAGCCUCCGCAGAAGUCGGGCGUCCAGGCUCCCGGCGAUGGCCGCGGGCCGCCGCCAUACGGAGCCGCAGCGCGGACCCCAGGGCACUCCUCCCUAGCGAGGCGCGACUCCUUUUCGCCCCCAGGCCGGCCAGCGGGAUGGGGGGCGGCGGGUCGGCCCUGAGGGUCUGCGCCGACCACCGCGGGGGCAUCAACUGGCUGAGCCUGAGCCCCGACGGGCAGCGCCUGCUGACGGGCAGCGAGGACGGCACGGCCCGGCUCUGGAGCACCGCGGACGGCCAGUGCUGCGCGCUCCUGCAAGACAGAUGGAAACUGAGGCUGGGGGUUGAGAAACUCGCCCAGGUCGCACAGCCAGUGAGGGGUAGAUUGCAGUCUGAGUCCUCUCACUGCUGUAAACCCCGCCUGCGUGUCUGCCGGUUUCUAUUCGUGUCCUGUACCCACUCAGCAGGACACGAAAGCUAUGUGACCUUCUGCCAGCUGGAGGAUGAAGCUGCCUUCACAUGCAGUGCCGACUGCACCAUCAGGAGGUGGGACGUGCUGACCGGGCAGUGUCUGCAGGUGUACCGAGGACACACGUCUAUCGUGAACAGGAUCCUGGUUGUCAACAACCAGCUCUUCAGCAGCUCCUACGACCGGACAGCUCGGGUCUGGAGUGUGGACGAGGGGCAGAUGUGCCGGGAGUUCCGGGGCCACCGCAACUGCGUGCUGACUCUAGCCUACUCUGCCCCGUGGGACCUCCCCGGCGCUCCCUGCGUGGAAGAGGCUGUGGCUGGGGGGCUCCUGGUGACCGGCAGCACAGACGGCACGGCCAAGGUGUGGCAGGUGGCCAGCGGCUGCUGCCACCAGACACUGCGGGGCCACACGGGCGCGGUGCUGUGCCUGGUGCUGGACACGCCCAGCCACACGGCCUUCACGGGCAGCACCGACACCACCGUCCGCGCCUGGGACAUCCUGAGUGGGGAGCAGCUGCGGGUGUUCCGGGAGCACCAGGGCUCUGUCAUAUGUCUGGAGCUGGUGAACCGACUGGUGUACUCUGGCAGCGCGGACAGGACUGUCAAGUGCUGGCUGGCAGACACGGGGGAGCGUGUGCGCACGUUCACCGCCCACAGACGCAGCGUGAGCGCCCUCAAGUACCACGCGGGCACCUUGUUCACGGGCAGCGGGGACGCCUGCGCCCGGGCCUUCGACGCGCAGUCGGGAGAGCUGCGGAGGGUGUUCCGAGGCCACGCGUUCAUCAUCAACUGCCUCCAGGUGCACGGCCAGGUGCUCUACACCGCCUCGCACGACGGCGCCCUGCGCCUCUGGGAUGUGCGCGGACUCCGGGGCGCCCCGCCGCCCACGCGCAGCCUCUCGCGCCUUUUCAGCAACAAGGUGGGCUGCGCCGCGCCCCUGCAGCCGGCCUGAGCCCGCGGGGCCCCUGCCGUCGCCCGCCCAGUUGCGCUCCGGCUCCCAGAGCACCUAGCCCUGUGCCCCACGGCGGCGGCGCCGGCGCCGGCGCCUGAUGACCGGGGAGGAGCAAGGAGGCCCGGGCUGGAGGCCCCGGCCCCUCCUGGGACUCUCCCACCUCAGGGGUGCAGGCGGACCGCCCCGACCCACGAAGUUGGGCCUUUCCUGCUGAGAGGAAGUGACUUUACAGAAGCCACUGAAACUGGUUGUUUUGGCAAAUUGUCGCCUCGUGGGCCUUGGAGGCGGGGACUGAAAUACACAGCCUGAGAGUUAAAAGUGCUCCUGUGUGCUCUUGUUUUGCAAACUGAGUCUCAGCUUCUUUUCGGAGCUUGGGAUUCCAGGAUCUCAGGUCAGCGGGCUGCCUCUCACACCGGCCUGGGCGGCCUUGGGGGUGACUUGUGGGCGAGAUGCGGGGUUACGGCCAGUGUUACUGGUGCAGGGAGUGGACGUGGAAGAGGCCAGGGAGAAAGGAAGCCACUCUUUAGCCUGUGCAGGUGACAGCGGAGAUCCUGCUUGGGAGCACCCAUCAUUUUCUAGCAUGAAUCUAGGAGGUCCCUUCAGGGUCUGGAGCGGAAGGGUGGGGGAGCUCAUGCACAGGAGCCACGCCGGUGCUUGGUGCUGGGAGGCAUGCCACACAUGCCAGAGCCAACAGGCACCCAAGGGGAGCCCUGUGCCCAGAGGCUAGAGGGGCCAGAGGCCCUUCGGGAGACCCCUCAGCAUCCCUCCCAGCACCUGCAGGGGGUUCUCUUCAGGCCCUAGGUGGUGCCACUUUCAGCAUUCACGUGCCCAGGCUGGCCUGGGUGCCAGGAGAGGAGCUGCAGGUGACAGUGCCUGUCGCGGAGGCCGCAGCAUCUUGCUGCGGAGAGAAGCGUGUGGUGCAGAAGCAGCCCCUUCAAGUGGAGCCGCGCCUUCAGAGAGCUCUGCUUGAUGUUGACGACAUAAAGAUGGCAGGAUGACCAUUCUCUCUCUGGUUUCUGAGAGCCCGAGAGACAUGGUGAGUGAGAGACUCGGAUCCCCUGAACCAAGGCCUGGUCCCUUUCCAGCCAUACCACUGUCGAUUUGCUGUGAGGGAAGAAACCAGGUGUCUGCUUUUGAUCAUCAAUUGAGUUGGCUAAGGGAGGAAGGGCAGGAGCUACCCUUAGGACAGAUGGGCAGGAACACAGCGACCGGGUAGGGCAGGACCAGCAUCAAGAACACGUGACGAGCUGUGCACCCCGUCACGCAGGUGUGGGCUGCCCUCGCCUGCUGGCCACGCACCCAUGCCCGCUCCCGCUCCUCACGGCACCCAGCCUCCCUCCUGGCUGUGACAGCAUCAGCAAUCAUGCCAUCUGCCCCCAAUUUUCUCUCUCCACAUACUGUCCUGCCCCAAAUACUAAUUUGUCCCACAUCUGGAAUGUUCUUUUUCCUCUGAUCCUCCCAGGAGAACCCUCCCAGGGCCCCACCUCUGUAACAGCCUCUGCUUCUCCGGCCUCAGCACCCUCCUGCCCCCUCCACCACCACCUGUCCAGUUUCACAGGGUCAGCCGUAGGUGGAGCAGGCUCAGCCGAGUCUCCAUCCCUGGAGGACAGCCCAUCCUGGACACAGCGCAUGCCCACAACUGCCCCCCACAGCCGGCUUCCCGUACAGCUCUCUCUCCACAAGACACGGAAAGCGUCAGGGCCUGCUGGUGUGGCCCUGCCUCUCUGAUGGCUGAAGACAGCUGGGAAGCUAGAAGCCACGCCCAAACCAAGCUUAGGACAGCGACUUGUUAGCCAAAAGCUUCUAAUCAGACCCAAAUCCAAGUGUGACAUUGUCUCAAAUGAGGCUGAGACCCUGCGUCACUUCAGCUCACUGGGCACGUCGAGGCAAACCCUGACAGGUGCGUCUCAGUCCCCGGCCCAGGGUCCUCCCCACCACCCAGCUUUGCAUGCGGCACUGUUCACAGCAGAUGUCCUCUGCUGCUUCUCCGGUCAUCCUUCAUCGCCUCACAAAACUCACUGGAAACAACAUCUUGCAAUCGAAACGAAGCGCUGGCCACCCAGACACUUUCCACACCUACAGCUGAGGCAGCUGAGGAACUUACUGCAGUUAGGCUGACAGUUUUGGAAUAUAUUUUCCACCUUUUAUUUCCAUCAGUAUCAUCCAUUUAAAAAGAAUCACAAGAAGAUUCCCAUCGGUCCAAACUGGAGCAUCCAUGCUUUAUGAAAAAGUGGAAGCAUUUCUGCCGGCCCCACAUGACCCAUCCUGCCUUCAUCAGAGGAGCUUCUAGUGCCUUCUGGAAGGGAGGAGAAGUCCCAGAUGCACCUGGCUGCUGCGGUCCUGGCGCUGGAAGGAACCCCCACUGAAUGCGAGG